CUUUCAUGGAGAGUUUGAUCCUGGCUCAGGACGAACGCUGGCGGCGUGCCUAAUACAUGCAAGUCGAGCGAAUCUUUCGGAACUUGUUUCGAAAGAUUAGCGGCGGACGGGUGAGUAACACGUGGGCAACCUGCCUGUAAGACUGGGAUAACACCGGGAAACCGGUGCUAAUACCGGAUAAUCCUUUUCCUCUCAUGAGGAAAAGCUGAAAGUCGGUUUCGGCUGACACUUACAGAUGGGCCCGCGGCGCAUUAGCUAGUUGGUGAGGUAACGGCUCACCAAGGCGACGAUGCGUA
rnacentral:rRNA from 1 species